AAAAGAUGGUAACGCGUGGUAACGCGUGCCAAACUCAUGGUAACGCGUUGUUAAUCAUUGCUUGCAUAUCGAUCUUGUAGUUUUGAACCGUUAGAAAUGAACUUUCUUAUUGUAGCAAUAAUAACUGUUUGAUAUUAGUGGUAACACGUAUGGUAACGCGUGGUAACGCGUUGUUAAAAUUUGAAUUUGGAGCGAAAACAGGUAGCCCAUGCAUAUACAUUAAUUAAACUAAUCCGAAUGGCUAAUUUCCAGUUUGAGAACGAGGUUGUUUACAUGUUGGCGUUGUUCUAGAUUUUACAUAGUAUUUUAAAAUAGAAAAAUCUUGAUUUGUGAUGGUUGCAUGAUAUUCAUUCUUCAUUCUCGAUAUAUCAUUUUCGAAUCGAUGGCAAGGUUGCGAAGGGACGUUAGAUGCCGGUAAGGUAUGGAUUUUAACUUAACUUGGACAAACUAUCGCAUAAUAUAAUACUUGUAUAUCGGCAUGUAUACUAUGGAGUCCAAAUAUGUUAUGCAAAUUUUGUUCGUA
rnacentral:lncRNA from 1 species